rnacentral:lncRNA from 1 species
AUAGACACAGUCGAAAAUGGCAUUUUUGGGGGGCAAUUUGUUGGAUAUAAAUUUGGUAUUUAUCAAUUAAAUAUAAUUGGUGGGUCCAAUGUUUAUUUGGAGGUGAUAUUGUCAAAAUAAAACUUUCAGAGUUGGCGUCGAAAGCCAACUGGGUCGAAGCCAAAGAGCGCUUCGAGAGAUAUGGACAACGCGUCCAGUUUUGGCUUUGCCAGAAGGCUAUCGAAAGCACGAAAUCGAACUGAUAGAGAGUUGGGCCAAGCCCAAAGACGAAACAACGAGCGGCCCAAGAGGCAUUGGCGCGCGCUGAAGGAAUGGAAGAUGAAGUGGAGAACGUGGUCGACGUGGCUAAUCGAGGAGCGUCCAGAUGAUCAAGAAACAGUUACCACUUUGUAGUAGUAUUUAUAGUAGUUUUUCAUUCAGAACCGGGGUCACAAAAAUUUAUACAAACACUCUCUCUAAAAAUUCUACGUACUCAGCGAUCGAACGAACGGAAUUCAGAGGAGAAAUGUAUGUUUUGUGAACC